rnacentral:rRNA from 1 species
UACGAAGGGGGCUAGCGUUGUUCGGAUUUACUGGGCGUAAAGCGCACGUAGGCGGUUCUUUAAGUCAGAGGUGAAAUCCCAAGGCUCAACCUUGGAACUGCCUUUGAUACUGGGGAUCUUGAGUCCGGGAGAGGUGAGUGGAACUGCGAGUGUAGAGGUGAAAUUCGUAGAUAUUCGCAAGAACACCAGUGGCGAAGGCGGCUCACUGGCCCGGUACUGACGCUGAGGCACGAAAGCGUGGGGAGCAAACAGG